AAGGGGUUAUUUUAAAUUUAUAGAAAGUUGUCAUGUCAUGACAGAAGUGUUAUAGGACACCUCUUG
rnacentral:tRNA from 1 species